UCAAAGGCUGUUUUUGACAUCACCAUGAUAUUUCUGCUGGA
rnacentral:sRNA from 11 species